rnacentral:rRNA from 1 species
UGAGUAACCUGCCCUUCUCUUCGGAAUAAGCGUUGGAAACGACGUCUAAUGCCGAAUACGACCUCCUUUCGCAUGAUCGGAGGUGGAAAGCUCCGGCGGAGAAGGAUGAGCUCGCGGCCUAUCAGCUAGUUGGUGUGGGUAAUGGCCCACAAGGCGACGACGGGUAGCCGGCUGAGAGGGUGACCGGCCACACUGGGACUGAGACACGGCCCAGACCUCGACGGGAGCAGNGAGGUAGG